UGUAGGAGCGAGCUUGCUCGCGAUAGCGUUAAGUCAGGCAACAUCGAUGCGCCUGACACUCCGCCUUCGCGAGCAAGCUCGCUCCCACA
rnacentral:misc_RNA from 1 species